UGGAGUUCCUUACCUGCUGGAGAUCUUCUGAAGCAGAGAGAGUGGGAGCUGUGCUGGAGGCGCGACAUGAGACAUCUCCCAGCAGAAAGCACAACCAAACUCUUCUCUCCCUCUCCCCGCGGGGACACCGAACAAUUAGAAGUUGCAUUUUGGGGUGAUUAUAACACACCUCGGGGGCGUUCAGGAGGCAAAAAGCUAAAGAGCAAAGGACUUAACGACCUGGAAAGGCAGCGAUCCCUGGCAGCCGUUCCCAACGCACGCAGCACCCAGCAGUGCGGGGCAGCCCCGGGUCAGAGCUGCCGAGCGCACGGAGCUGCCCGCAUUUUUUUAUUAUUAUUGUUAUUAUUUUUAAUUGAAGCUUUGUUUUUCUCGCUUUAUCAGUGAGCCUAUAUCCACCCUUCCUCCCCUUCGCGUUUUCUCCUAUUUACCUCCCAGCAAACAGAUAUUUGUGGCUCGCAAUGAGGCAGACGUGCCGCCCCGUGCGGGGCGGAGCGGGGCCGGGGAUGGAGCCGGGCGGGCUCGGAGCUCCCCCUGCCGCCCGCCGCGGGGCCGGGAGCGGAUUCGGCUCUUUAUUAAUGAACGGGCUGCAAUUAGCGAGCGGUUCCCGGCCCCGGGGCCCUGUGACAGCGUCAGCGAUGCCUCAACUAUGCGGGACGGGGCGGCCGUGCGGUGCAGCUCUCUUACCCCUUCCCCUCUGCCUUUCCC